rnacentral:rRNA from 1 species
GAUGAACGCUGGCUACAGGCUUAACACAUGCAAGUCGAGGGGAAACGACGGGGAAGCUUGCUUCCCCGGGCGUCGACCGGCGCACGGGUGAGUAACGCGUAUCCAACCUGCCUCUGACUGAGGGAUAACCCGUCGAAAGUCGGCCUAAUACCUCAUGGCAUCGUCUGCGGGCAUCCAACGACGAUUAAAGAUUUCAUCGGUCAGAGAUGGGGAUGCGUCUGAUUAGCUUGUUGGCGGGGUAACGGCCCACCAAGGCGACGAUCAGUAGGGGUUCUGAGAGGGUGACAGGCCAGAUUGGGAAGGAGAGACUGCCCAGACUACUGCGGGAGGCAGAUGUGGGGAAUAUUGCACGAUGGGCGGAAUCCUGAUGCAGCAACGCGGCGGGCGGGAUGACGGCCUUCGGGUUGUAAACCGCAUUCGCCUGUGACGACGCGUGAGUGACGGUAAUGGGUAGAGAAGAACCGGCUAACUACGUC